AUUGAACGCUGGCGGCUGGCCUAACACAUGCAAGUCGAACGAGUGGCGGACGGGUGAGUAAUGUAUGGGAAACUGCCUGAUGGAGGGGGAUAACUACUGGAAACGGUAGCUAAUACAGCAUACCAUCAGAUGUGCCCAGAUGGGAUGAGCUUGUGGGGGGGGUAACGGCGCACCAAGGCGAAGAUCCCUAGCUGGGCUGAGAGGGUGACCAGCCACACUGGCACGUAGACUCGUCCCAGACUCCUACGGUAGGCAGCCGUGGGGACUAUUGCACAAUGGGCGCAAGCCUGAUGCAGCCAUGCCGCGUGUAUGAAGAAGGCCUUCGGUUUGUAAAGUACUGUCAGCGGGGAGGCGUUACCCGCAGAAGAAGCACCGGCUAACUCCGUGCCAGCCGCCGCGGUAAUAC
rnacentral:rRNA from 1 species